UCUGGUCCUGAUUGGACCUACUUGCCAGGCUCCAGACUUGUUGGAUGGCAAAAUCUUCCUCCUCAUUGGAGACACUUGGCUGUUGGAGUUCAGAACUUUGUCUCUGCAGCUCCGAACCGACUACGUGUAGCUUUAUUUCUGGUUUCCAGUCGAUCCC